rnacentral:misc_RNA from 1 species
GCUAUUUCCGGAGGCGCACCUACCUUCUGGCAAUCUAUAUAGGCUUGAAGCAAGCGAGGAUAAGAAGGAUGAGAAGCGAUUUUGGCUUUGAUCAAAGUAGAAAAAUCUUCUUCUCGUGGAAUUUCCGGUGCGAUUGAAUCAGCCUCCGAAAUCACCGAGGCAGCCGAGCGUAGGUCAUCCGAUACGAAAAUCGGAAUCCAAUUUUGGAAAGUUUCGGAAGAAAGGAAGGUCUGGUAAUCCGAAGGCAAAAUCAGAUUCUCCGGCGAUAGCAACGCCCCGUCAGAAUAGUCAGCCGUCGAGUGCAUACCGUACAUUCCAUCCAUAUUACAAUCGUUUCUUCUUCCUCUAGGAUUAAGAAAAGACAAGGAAGCAGUGAUUAAAUGCCAAGGUGCGCGAAGAGUUUAUAUAUAAAAAUAAAGCUUUAAAAA